rnacentral:rRNA from 1 species
ACUCCUACGGGAGGCAGCAGUGGGGAAUAUUGGACAAUGGGCGCAAGCCUGAUCCAGCCAUGCCGCGUGAGUGAUGAAGGCCCUAGGGUUGUAAAGCUCUUUCACCGGUGAAGAUAAUGACGGUAACCGGAGAAGAAGCCCCGGCUAACUUCGUGCCAGCAGCCGCGGUAAUACGAAGGGGGCUAGCGUUGUUCGGAUUUACUGGGCGUAAAGCGCACGUAGGCGGACUAUUAAGUCAGGGGUGAAAUCCCGGGGCUCAACCCCGGAACUGCCUUUGAUACUGGUAGUCUUGAGUUCGAGAGAGGUGAGUGGAAUUCCGAGUGUAGAGGUGAAAUUCGUAGAUAUUCGGAGGAACACCAGUGGCGAAGGCGGCUCACUGGCUCGAUACUGACGCUGAGGUGCGAAAGCGUGGGGAGCAAACAGGAUUAGAUACCCUAGUAGUCCCA